AUGGCGUCCCUCCUCUUCCUGCCGCACACGACGCCCACGGCCUCCCCGCGCGCCGCGGCCAGGCCUAGGGCCGGGGCCAUCACCUGCGGCCCGCGCGACAACCGCGGCCCGCUCCAGCGCGGCCGCUCCCUCUCCACGGAGGCCAUCCACGCCGUGCAGUCCCUCAAGCGCCUCACCGCCGCCGACCGCUCCCCGUCGGCCGCCCGCGGCGCGGCCUCCGCGUCCCUCGGCCGCCUCCUCCGGGCCGAUCUCCUCGCCGCCAUGGCCGAGCUCCAGCGGCAGGGCCACUGGUCCCUCGCCCUCGCCGCGCUCCACGUGGCGCGCGCCGAGCCCUGGUACCGGCCCGACCCGGAGCUCUACGCCACGUUCGUCUCCUCCUCGCCGCCCUCCGAGGCCGCCGGCGGCGCCGUGGACGCGCUCGUGGAGGCGUUCCUCGAGGAGAAGGAGGAGCGGCGCGGCGGCGGGCGGCUCUCGGAGUCGGAGGGGCCGUGGGUGGGGGUGGACGUGUACAAGCUCACGAGGCUGGUGCGCGCGCUGGUGGCCAAGGGCAGGGCGCGCGCGGCGUGCCGGGUGUACGAGGCGGCGGUGAGGAGGGGAGGCUGCGAGGUGGACGAGUACAUGUACCGGGUGAUGGCGCGGGGGAUGAAGCGGCUGGGGCUCGAGGCCGAGGCGGCGGAGGUGGAGGCCGACUUCGCCGAGUGGGAGGCCAGGGUCUCGCCGCCGGCGAGGCACCUGCUCGACGAAAUGCGCGCGAGGGAGGAGAGCAACAAGACGACGACGACGGCUUAG
rnacentral:rRNA from 1 species